AUUGAACGCUGGCGGCAUGCUUUACACAUGCAAGUCGAACGGCAGCACGGACUUCGGUCUGGUGGCGAGUGGCGAACGGGUGAGUAAUGUAUCGGAACGUGCCCAGUCGUGGGGGAUAACGUAGUGAAAAUUACGCUAAUACCGCAUACGAUCUAUGGAUGAAAGCGGGGGAUCGCAAGACCUCGAGCGAUUGGAGCGGCCGAUAUCAGAUUAGGUAGUUGGUGGGGUAAAGGCCCACCAAGCAAACGAUCUGUAGCUGGUCUGAGAGGACGACCAGCCACACUGGAACUGAGACACGGUACAGACGCCUACGGGAGGCAGCAGUGGGGAAUUUUGGACAAUGGGCGAAAGCCUGAUCCAGCCAUUCCGCGUGCAGGAUGAAGGCCCUCGGGUUGUAAACUGCUUUUGUACAGAACGAAAAGGUUUCUACUAAUACUAGGAGCUCAUGACGGUACUGUAAGAAUAAGCACCGGCUAACUACGUGCCAGCAGCCGCCGUAA
rnacentral:rRNA from 1 species